CCAAAGUCGAUCAUUAACGUGUCAUAUUGUUCUAUUGAUGCUGAAUGUUGAUAGAGUUUGUCCUUCACCUCCAACGACAAGUGUUUUCUCUUUUUCUUUUACUCGUGUCAUAAGGUCUCAUUCAUGGAACGAAUUAACGAAUUUUCCCUUUCAAAAUUAAAGUUUCUUUUUUUUAAUAAAUAAUUCAAUUAAAAUUUGAUUUAUUCAAUUAUGCAAAAUUAAAAAUUAUUUAUCGUAUUGAGCAUUAAAUUGAUAUACAAUCAACCCUCACUAUAACAAUAUU
rnacentral:lncRNA from 1 species